GGGCUGCGCGGGGCGGAGCCCGACGGCGGGCGUUGCCAGGGCGGGGAGCGCUCCGCACCGCGCCGCCUUCUUUGUCCUGGGGCGCCAGGCACAGCCCCCAUCCCGCGGAGGGUAACUCUAUUCUUUAGGCGCCUAGCCCGGGAUUAACCCCUUGCUGACCGUCCUUUAGCCCUAAAUCACCCUCAGAUCUCCUCCACCGCCAUCCUGGUUCUGGAGCGAGCGGGGAAAGACCACCCAGCGGAUAUGUAUGGGUAGGAAGGCGAAGAUGCCGCCCCAGGAAGUGAGGAAAGCUGCUCCUGGCAGGUAGAGCUUCGAGGACCCGGAGAAACGUGAAGGUAGUUACUCUUGUUUUUCUGUACCCAUUUCAUAGACAGACUCAAGCUUGCUUCAGUGGUGUUUUUUAGAAUAGUCACUGGUACAGCAUGCCACUGCCAUAACAUAGAUAGCUAUGUUGGGUCACCAGAUUAUACUUUGAGGGUUAUGCAUUGCUUCAAAAGCAGUUGACUAAAGAGUUAAUAUUUCCACCCAGGAAAAACAUACUUCCUUCCUACCUUUGGACUGAGAAUUUAUGGAAAUAAAGUUCUAUUUAUGGAAGGCAGGACAAUUGACGUGUCUAUGUCUGUCUGACUCCGUUUGUGGCUGACCUCACACCUUCCCAGCCCAUCUUUUUAUUCCAGCUUUGCUGU
rnacentral:lncRNA from 1 species